UUGAUUUGUAAAUACCUCAAUUAUAACACAUCACUAAAUCAUCAUAUUUUGAGUAUCAUGUUUCACUCAAAUAAUAUAAUAAUAAAAAAAUCAAUAUCAAAAGUAAUGUUUCAACCUUUAAUUGAUGAUGUUAAUUUCUACUUCAUUCCUGGCCUCAAGAUCACAUAUGCUUUUUGAGUAAUAUUUCUAGAUUAAGAAGUUGGACAAUAUUUUCAAUUUUCAUAGAAAUAUAUUUGUUGUG
rnacentral:lncRNA from 1 species